UACACUCCUGCGGGAGGCAGCAGUGGGGAAUUUUGGACAAUGGGCGAAAGCCUGAUCCAGCAAUGCCGCGUGAGUGAAGAAGGCCUUCGGGUUGUAAAGCUCUUUUGUCAGGGAAGAAACGGUGAGAGCUAAUAUCUUUUGCUAAUGACGGUACCUGAAGAAUAAGCACCGGCUAACUACGUGCCAGCAGCCGCGGUAAUACGUAGGGUGCAAGCGUUAAUCGGAAUUACUGGGCGUAAAGCGUGCGCAGGCGGUUUUGUAAGUCUGAUGUGAAAUCCCCGGGCUCAACCUGGGAAUUGCAUUGGAGACUGCAAGGCUAGAAUCUGGCAGAGGGGGGUAGAAUUCCACGUGUAGCAGUGAAAUGCGUAGAUAUGUGGAGGAACACCGAUGGCGAAGGCAGCCCCCUGGGUCAAGAUUGACGCUCAUGCACGAAAGCGUGGGGAGCAAACAGGAUUAGAUACCCGAGUAGUCCCAUGA
rnacentral:rRNA from 1 species